CCUACGGGAGGCAGCAGUAGGGAAUAUUGCUCAAUGGGGGAAACCCUGAAGCAGCAACGCCGCGUGGAGGAUGAAGGUUUUCGGAUUGUAAACUCCUUUUGUUAGAGAAGAUAAUGACGGUAUCUAACGAAUAAGCACCGGCUAACUCCGUGCCAGCAGCCGCGGGAAUACGGAGGGUGCAAGCGUUACUCGGAAUCACUGGGCGUAAAGAGCGAGUAGGCGGGAUAGCAAGUCAGAUGUGAAAUCCUAUGGCUUAACCAUAGAACUGCAUUUGAAACUGUUAUUCUAGAGUAUGGGAGAGGUAGGUGGAAUGCUUGGUGUAGGGGUAAAAUCCGUAGAGAUCAAGAGGAAUACUCAUUGCGAAGGCGACCUGCUAGAACAUAACUGACGCUGAUGCGCGAAAGCGUGGGGAGCAAACAGGAUUAGAUACCCUAGUAGUC
rnacentral:rRNA from 1 species